UAAUACGUAGGGGCCAAGCGUUGUCCGGAAUUACUGGGCGUAAAGCGUGGGUAGGUGGUCGAUGAUGUGCCGCGUGAAAGCGCCGGAGUAAUGCCGGCGAGGUCGCGGUAGACACGUUGACUAGAGGCUCGCAGAGGAACGUGGAAUUCCCGGUGUAGUGGUGAAAUGCGUAGAUAUCGGGAGGAACACCAGUGGCGCAAGCGGCGUUCUGGGCGAGACCUGACACUGAGCCACGACGGCGUGGGGAGCAAACAGGA
rnacentral:rRNA from 1 species